GAACGAUCUAACCGAGGCCCUUGAAUCAGGGCUCGGGACCAUGUCAGCCGGUCAGUUUUACUGGGGCGGUAUCCUCCCAAAGAGUAACGGAGGAGUGCGAAGGUUGGCUCAGCGUGGUUGGCAAUCACGUGACGAGUAUAUUGGCAUAAGCCAGCCUAACUGUGAGACCUACAAGUCGAACAGAUGCGAAAGCAGGCCAAAGUGAUCCGGCGGUUUAAUGUGGAAUUGCCGUCGCUUAACGGACAAAAGGUACGCUAGGGAUAACAGGCUGAUUUCAUCCAAGAGUUCAUAUCGACGAUGAAGUUUGGCACCUCGAUGUCGGCUCAUCGCAUCCUGGGGCUGGAGAAGGUCCCAAGGGUCCGGCUGUUCGCCGGUUAAAGCGGUACGCGAGCUGGGUUCAGAACGUCGCGAGACAGUUCGGUCCUCUAUCCUCUGUGGGCGAAGGAAAGUUGAGGG
rnacentral:rRNA from 1 species